rnacentral:rRNA from 1 species
UACAGAGGGGGCAAGCGUUAUUCGGAAUUAUUGGGCGUAAAGGGCGCGUAGGCGGCGAUUCAAGUGACGGGUGAAAUCCCUCGGCUUAACCGAGGAACUGCCUGUCAGACUGGAUUGCUUGAGGCCGGGAGAGGCGAGUGGAAUUCCCAGUGUAGCGGUGAAAUGCGCAGAUAUCAGGAGGAACACCAAUGGCGAAGGCAGCUCGCUGGGACGGUACUGACGCUGAGACGCGAAAGCGUGGGGAGCAAACAGG